UACGGGGGGGGCAAGCGUUGUUCGGAAUUACUGGGCGUAAAGGGCUCGUAGGCGGCCAACUAAGUCGGAUGUGAAAUCCCCAGGCUCAACUUGGGAACUGCAUCCGAUACUGGAUGGCUUGAAUUCGGGAGAGGGAUGCAGAAUUCCAGGUGUAGCGGUGAAAUGCGUAGAUAUCUGGAGGAAUACCGGUGGCGAAGGCGGGUCUCUGGACAGUUCCUGACGCUGAGGCACGAAGGUCAGGGGAGCAAACGGG
rnacentral:rRNA from 1 species